rnacentral:rRNA from 1 species
GACGAACCGUGCGAACGUUAUUCGGAAUCACUGGGCUUAAAGCGCGUGUAGGCGGGAGGGCACGUCCGUUGCUGAAAUCCCCCGGCUCAACCGGGGAACGGGCGCGGAUACGACUCUCCUUGAGGGGCGUAGGGGGACCUGGAACUUCCGGUGGAGCGGUGAAAUGCGUUGAGAUCGGAAGGAACGCCCGUGGCGAAAGCGAGGUCCUGGACGCCUACUGACGCUGAGACGCGAAAGCCAGGGGAGCCGAACGGGG